GCUUUAUUAUUUCAUCAUUUACCUAUUACGAAACCGUUUUAGAAACUUUUUUUUCUUUAAUCUUUUACACAAUUUUUGAGAGCAGACGAAUAUUUGUUGUAGUCAUGUGUUUUGUUUUCGUCAUUUCAGUGGUGUACUUUAUUUCUGACAGUAUUUGGACUUGCCACCGUUCAAGUGGCAAAAAUUGCUGAGUUCAACGGAUUCUUAAACAUCUUGUUUACCUUCUGUAAAGAAAAAAAGCAGCUGUCCUUUUAGGUUGUCUAUGUUCCAGCACACAGCAUAUUUUCAGUGUCACUGAUUAGGAAGAAAAAUUUACUAUUUACUUGGCAUGUGAAGAUAGAGCUAUGCCAUCUACAUCUAAAUUUAUUGUGGAACGGAUGCAAUCACCAAUUACUACUACAAUAAGCCCAACUGCAAAACGAAAGGAAGCUCUAGAAAGAAUACAACGCUUUAAUCCCAUUAAGUCAAAUAGAGAAGGUUGUACCCAACCAGUUGGUUUUGUCAAAGGUGGUGUCCAACAACAAUUAGAAGGCGGAGAAAUUCUCGAAAUAAAUAACAACCCAGUUUCCCCCUCUACGAGUGCGGAAAAUGCGUCGAGUGAAUUACGAACGAAUCCAUUGGGGGAAUUUGGCGAAUGGGAAAAACAUACGAAAGGCAUCGGUGCCAAGCUUCUAUUGAAGAUGGGUUACAAACCGGGACAUGGGCUUGGCAAGAGUUUACAAGGUCGCAGUCAACCUGUGGAAGCUAAGGUUCGCAAAGGAAGAGCAGCGAUUGGAAGUGAAGAGUUGCCCCCGAUACAACCACCUACCCGUUGCCCCAUUCCACAGCCAUCCAUUCAAUUACAGCAAAGAAUCAAGAAAAAAUCUAAGAAAAUAAAAUGGAACGUACUAGCCAGUCAGAGGCAGAGGCUCAUCGCUAUGGAAUUGUCGCUCUCUCCGACUGAAAACAAGAAUUACCACGCAUCAAAUAACCCUCCAACGUCAAUCCGCAAUCGUUUAACUAUCGAAAGACCUCCCCGAUGUUAUUUGUAUUCAGAGUUCCGAUGAUGAAGAUUGUCUGAUUCUGUCUGAUGCCGAGAAUUCGCCUAACGUUUUACCCUCGGGCAAAACAAGUGGAACCAGGCCUAGCUCUUCAUUAAGAAAUCCGGUGGUGGCUGACGUUGUUUGCAUUUCGAGUUCGGAAGACGAAGAUUGUCUGAUUUUGUCUGAGGCUGAAAACGUUCCCACAGAAGAGGUUGCUUCCCCGAGGGCCCUGUCACCCAUUAACAAACCAUCUGCCACUUUCUUAUGGAAUCGCCCAAACUUGUCACGUACGCAACGCAGGCUGAGAAAAAUACGGUUGAAAGAGUGGUGUUUACGGAGAAAGACUCGGCGCAAUGUUUCCAACCCUUGAAUCUUUAUUUACGUGUUCGUUAUUGGUAUUACGCAAUGAAAGGAGUUGAUUCGAAGAACUUUCAUUAUUGCUGGGAAAAAGCGUGUUAACGGACAACAGGAGAAAACCACUUUUUAUUUGGAAUGUAACGGCAGGGGGAACGCAGCGGGACGAUGUAAAUAAGUAAAAAUGUGUAAUCGCGAUCAUAACCCAAUUUUCUCAUUUUUACAAAAAAAAGUCGUGUUUAUGCAAUCGGUGUACACAUGCGAGAAGUCAAAUAAAAACAAUUCCCAUUCCCCA
rnacentral:sRNA from 1 species